rnacentral:tRNA from 1 species
AGGCCCGUGACGGAACUGGCAUACGCAGCUGCCUCAAGAGCAGCCUUUUGUGGGUUCAACUCCCACCGGGCCUGCCA